rnacentral:rRNA from 1 species
AGAGUUUGAUCAUGGCUCAGGACGAACGCUGGCGGCGUGCUUAACACAUGCAAGUCGAACGGAAAGGCCCUUUCGGGGGUACUCGAGUGGCGAACGGGUGAGUAACACGUGGGUGAUCUGCCCUGCACUUCGGGAUAAGCCUGGGAAACUGGGUCUAAUACCGGAUAUGACUACGCGAUGCAUGUCGUGUGGUGGAAAGCUUUUGCGGUGUGGGAUGGGCCCGCGGCCUAUCAGCUUGUUGGUGAGGUUAUGGCUUACCAAGGCGACGACGGGUAGCCGGCCUGAGAGGGUGUCCGGCCACACUGGGACUGAGAUACGGCCCAGACUCCUACGGGAGGCAGCAGUGGGGAAGAUUGCACAAUGGGCGCAAGCCUGAUGCAGCGACGCCGCGUGAGGGAUGACGGCCUUCGGGUUGUAAACCUCUUUCAGUACAGACGAAGCGCAAGUGACGGUAUGUACAGAAGAAGCACCGGCCAACUACGUGCCAGCCGCCGCGGUAAUUC